AACGAACGCUGGCGGCAUGCCUAACACAUGCAAGUCGAACGAGACCUUCGGGUCUAGUGGCGCACGGGUGCGUAACGCGUGGGAACCUGCCCUUAGGUUCGGAAUAACUCCCCGAAAGGGGUGCUAAUACCGGAUAAUGUCUUCGGACCAAAGAUUUAUCGCCUUUGGAUGGGCCCGCGUUGGAUUAGCUAGUUGGUAGGGUAAAAGCCUACCAAGGCGACGAUCCAUAGCCGGUCUGAGAGGAUGAUCAGCCACACUGGGACUGAGACACGGCCCAGACUCCUACGGGAGGCAGCAGUGGGGAAUAUUGGACAAUGGGCGAAAGCCUGAUCCAGCAAUGCCGCGUGAGUGAUGAAGGCCUUAGGGUUGUAAAGCUCUUUUAACCGGGAUGAUAAUGACAGUACCGGGAGAAUAAGCUCCGGCUAACUCCGUG
rnacentral:rRNA from 1 species